AGAGUUUGAUCCUGGCUCAGGGUGAACGCUGGCGGCGCGCUUAAUGCAUGCAAGUCGAGCGUGAUCGUGGCUUCGGCCACAAUGAUAAAGCGGCAGACGGCUGAGUAACGCGUGAGUAAUCUGCCCUCCGGUGGGGUAUAACCUCGGGAAACUGAGGAUAAUCCCGCAUACGACCUGCAUCCCUUGGGGUGCAGAUGAAAGGCUUCGGUCGCCGGAGGAGGAGCUCGCGUCCUAUCAGGUUGUUGGUGGGGUAAUGGCCUACCAAGCCGAUGACGGGUAGCUGGUCUGAGAGGAUGACCAGCCAGAGGGGGACUGAGAACGGCCCCCACUCCUACGGGAGGCAGCAGCAGGGAAUCUUGGGCAAUGGGCGAAAGCCUGACCCAGCGACGUCGCGUGGGGGACGAAGGCCUUCGGGUUGUAAACCCCUUUUCCGAGGGAAGAGAAAGGACGGUACCUCGGGAAUAAGCCCCGGCUAACUACGUGCCAGCAGCCGCGGUAAUACGUAGGGGGCAAGCGUUACCCGGAAUCACUGGGCGUAAAGUGCGCGUAGGCGGUUGGAUAAGUCUCUUGUGAAAGCUCCCGGCUCAACUGGGAGAGGUCAAGGGAUACUAUUUGACUAGAGGACAGCAGAGGUAAGCAGAAUUCCCGGUGUAGCGGUGGAAUGCGUAGAUAUCGGGAGGAACACCAGUGGCGAAAGCGGCUUACUGGGCUGUAUCUGACGCUGAGGCGCGAGAGCGUGGGGAGCAAACUGGAUUAGAUACCCAGGUAGUCCACGCCCUAAACGAUGGAUACUAGGUAUGGGGGGUAUUGACCCCCUCCGUGCCGUAGCUAACGCGUUAAGUAUCCCGCCUGGGGACUACGGCCGCAAGGCUAAAACUCAAAGGAAUUGACGGGGGCCCGCACAAGCGGUGGAGCGUGUGGUUUAAUUCGAUGCUAAGCGAAGAACCUUACCUGGGCUUGACAUGUUGGUAGUAGGAACCCGAAAGGGUAACGACCUCGGGGUAACUCGGGGAGCCUUCACAGGUGCUGCAUGGCUGUCGUCAGCUCGUG
rnacentral:rRNA from 1 species